rnacentral:rRNA from 1 species
CCUACGGGUGGCAGCAGUGGGGAAUAUUGCACAAUGGGGGAAACCCUGAUGCAGCGACGCCGCGUGAGCGAUGAAGUAUUUCGGUAUGUAAAGCUCUAUCAGCAGGGAAGAAAAUGACGGUACCUGACUAAGACGCCCUGUCUAACUACGUGACAGCAGCCGCGGUAAUACGUAGGGGGCAAGCGUUAUCCGGAUUUACUGGGUGUAAAGGUAGCGUAGACGGCUGUGCAAGACAGAUGUGAAAGCCAGGGGUUCAACCCCGAGACUGCAUUUGGAACUGUGUGGCUGGAGUGUCGGAGAGGCAGGCGGAAUUCCUAGUGUAGCGGUGAAAUGCGUAGAUAUUAGGAGGAACACCAGUGGCGAAGGCGGCCUGCUGGACGGUGACUGACGUUGAGGCUCGAAAGCGUGGGGAGCAAACAGGAUUAGAUACCCGAGUAGUC